CAGUAGCCGCGGUAAUACGAACCGUGCGAACGUUAUUCGGAAUCACUGGGCUUAAAGCGCGUGUAGGCGGGCCGUCACGUCGGCUGCUGAAAUCCCCCGGCUCAACCGGGGAAGUGGCACCGAUACGAGCGGUCUUGAGGGGGGUAGGGGGGUCUGGAACUUCCGGUGGAGCGGUGAAAUGCGUUGAGAUCGGAAGGAACGCCCGUGGCGAAAGCGAGGCCCUGGACCCUUUCUGACGCUGAGACGCGAAAGCCAUGGGAGCAAAUGGGAUUAGAUACCCCCGUAGUCCCUGUCUCUUAUU
rnacentral:rRNA from 1 species